GACCAUGGUGCAGUGGGUAGCACUGCAGCCUUGCAGCAAGAAGGCCCUGGGUUCAAAUCCCAGCCUGGGGUCU